rnacentral:rRNA from 1 species
AUACGGAGGAUCCGAGCGUUAUCCGGAUUUAUUGGGUUUAAAGGGUGCGCAGGCGGCCAUUUAAGUCAGCGGUUAAAUCGUGGGGCUCAACCCCAUUCUGCCGUUGAUACUGGGUGGCUUGAUUGCGGUCGAGGUUGGCGGAAUUUGUUGUGUAGCGGUGAAAUGCAUAGAUAUGACGAAGAACACCGAUUGCGUAGGCAGCUGACCAGACCGCAAAUGACGCUCAUGCACGAAAGUGCGGGGAUCGAACAGGAUUAGAUACCCUGGUAGUCCGCACAGUAAACGAUGAAUACUUGUUUUCGGCGAUAUAAUGUCGGAGGCAAAGCGAAAGCGAUAAGUAUUCCACCUGGGGAGUACGCCGGCAACGGUGAAACUCAAAUGAAUUGACGGGG